GAUAAACGCUGGCGGCGUGCCUUAUGCAUGCAAGUCGUACGUGAGACCGGCUUCGGCCGGUUGAAAGUGGCGAACGGGUGAGUAACACGUAGGAACCUGCCCGGAAGUGGGGGAUAACUCCGCGAAAGCGGGGCUAAUACCGCAUGUGGUCGCAAGACCAAAGCUUCGGCGCUUCCGGAGGGGCCUGCGGCGGAUUAGCUAGUUGGUGGGGUAACGGCCUACCAAGGCGACGAUCCGUAGCUGGUCUGAGAGGAUGGUCAGCCACACUGGAACUGAGACACGGUCCAGACUCCUACGGGAGGCAGCAGCAAGGAAUUUUGCGCAAUGGGCGAAAGCCUGACGCAGCAACGCCGCGUGGGGGAUGAAGGCCUUCGGGUUGUAACCCUUUAGUCGAGGGAAGAAGAUCUGACGGUACCUCGCGAAUAAGCCACGGCUAACUACGUG
rnacentral:rRNA from 1 species